AGUGAACGCUGGCGGUAGGCCUAACACAUGCAAGUCGAACGGCAGCACAGUAAGAGCUUGCUCUUACGGGUGGCGAGUGGCGGACGGGUGAGGAAUACAUCGGAAUCUACUUUUUCGUGGGGGAUAACGUAGGGAAACUUACGCUAAUACCGCAUACGACCUACGGGUGAAAGCAGGGGAUCUUCGGACCUUGCGCGAUUGAAUGAGCCGAUGUCGGAUUAGCUAGUUGGCGGGGUAAAGGCCCACCAAGGCGACGAUCCGUAGCUGGUCUGAGAGGAUGAUCAGCCACACUGGAACGGAGAAACGGUCCAGACUCCUACGGGAGGCAGAAGUGGGGAAUAUUGGACAAUGGGCGCAAGCCUGAUCCAGCCAUACCGCGUGGGUGAAGAAGGCCUUCGGGUUGUAAAGCCCUUUUGUUGGGAAAGAAAAGCAGCAGGUUAAUACCCCGCUGUUCUGACGGUACCCAAAGAAUAAGCACCGGCUAACUUCGUG
rnacentral:rRNA from 1 species